UGGACAAUUAUUAAAAUUUAUCAUGAGUUUAUUACAAGUCAGUAUAGCUGUUGCAUACUGUUACAAGGGAGUUACAUGGGAUAGAGAUAUAUAUGUAUAAAAUACAAAUAAUCCGAUGAGCCUUACCACGGGUGAUGCAAAUUUCUCCUGGGACGACAUUGAAGGCCGCGUGCUAUGCAUAUUGAGAUUGAGAUUCCAUUUGAUUGCGCCAUGUGGAGAGCAGACGACAAGCUAUUCAUGUGCAGGCAAAAACUUCAAGUUUCUUGGUAAUAAAUGGGUUUGUUGAUUUUUCUACUUUGGUUUUAUUGAUUUGGGGCUUCAUAUGUUGAUUUUUUUUUAUUUGUUUUUGUUCAAUUUCUAUUUAUUGAUUUUUAAUUUUUGAUUUUUUUUAUUGAUUUUAUGUGAAUUUGGUUGCACUUUGAUUAUAUUUUGGUUGGCAACCCAGUAAGUCAUAAGAACUUGAGAGAGAGAGAGAGAGA
rnacentral:misc_RNA from 1 species